AUGGAUGAUGUUUGGAACUAUAGAGCAUGGGAGGAUGUGCUCAAAACACCAUUAGUCAAUGCUGCUGCUCCAGGCAGCCGUGUCCUCGUCACCACUAGAGAUGAAGGUGUAGCCCGAGGGGUGUCAGCUAUAUGGCCGUACCAUCAUGUCGACACAUUAGCACCCGACGAUGCUUGGUUAUUGCUCAAGACGCAGGUACUCUCAAGUGAGAUAAAUGAAGACCACAUAAAUACGCUAAAGGAUAUUGGACUCAAAAUUAUUCAAAAAUGUGGUUAUUUACCACUCGCCAUCAAAGUAAUGGGAGGACUUUUGCGUGAAAGAGGAGGGCUACGUCGUGACUGGCAGCAUGUUUUGGAUGAUUCAAAAUGGUCAAGAACUAAAAUGCCUGAUGAGCUUAACUAUGCAGUAUACUUAAGCUAUGAAUAUAUGCCUUCUUACCUGAAGCAGUGCUUUCUGUACUAG
rnacentral:rRNA from 1 species